rnacentral:rRNA from 1 species
AUGUGCACCCUCGCCACAGGUUGGGGCGGUCAACGCAGCCGGCGCCGGGCUCCUCCUUGCGCAGGAGGCCAAAUCGGGGGGAGGGGGCGGCACCCCUCGCCGGAUCCGGCAGCCAACGUUGGGCGGCUCCUCGCGCUGGAGGCCAAAUCGGGGCCGCGGCACGGGAUCCGGCAGCCCACGCUGGGCAUCUACUCGUGCGGGAGGUCAAAUCGGGGCGGCGGCGCGGCAUCCCUCGCCGGAUCCGGACGAGGUGGCGACGGUGGGGGCCAAAUCGUGGCGACUGCGCGGCAUCCCUCGCCGAAGGUGGCGGCGCCUGGAGCAUGUGCGCGCACCAGCGUCGGCGGCUCACGUGGUGGUGCACGGCCGCAUGUGGUGCAUCGAGGGCACCACCACCGUGGUGGAAUGGAGCGGGGAGCGCCGGGGCUGGCUCGAGGUGGGCCCUUACCCGCCUAG